rnacentral:rRNA from 1 species
GAGGACCGGGAUGGACAGACCUCUGGUGCACCAGUUGUCGUGCCAACGGCACAGCUGGGUAGCUAUGUCUGGACGAGAUAAACGCUGAAGGCAUCUAAGCGUGAAACUCCCCCUAAGAUAAGAUCUCCCAUCUUUUGGAGUAAGGGCCGAAGAAGACUACUUCGUAGAUAGGCCGGAAGUGGAAGUGCAGUAAUGUAUUGAGCUGACCGGUACUAAUAGCCCGAGGGCUUGACCUA